AGAAGGCAGACUUUUCAAAACAAGGGGGUGGUGCAAGUUUACAGAUUCACAGGAUCUAUGUUCCCGUGCAUUGUCUAUCCGAGACUGCUAUAUAAUGAGGUACAAUCGCUGCUUCUAAUUAUUCCUCUUUCCAAGAAGAGCUGGAUGACUAAACAUUUGUUUUAUGUUCAUUUACAUUGGAACAUACAGCCCUAUUUAUUUGAGCCUGAAUACACUGAAUAGGUGUUGAGACAACGAGAAAAUAAUUGUGAGACCAGCAAGAAGCGGCGGCAGCCUAGACCAGCUGGACCAGGACUCAGAAAGACAAUACCGCUUGCAUACAAAGAAGUUGAUUACUCUCAAAAGGAGAUGUGGAAGGUACCAUAAUAACUCCAAAGUGACUCGGAACACCUCCCUGCACCACCCAAACACACCAUAUGCAUGUAUUCCCUUUGAAGAACUGUAGAACUUAUUAUAAACAUUCAUAGUAUAUUUUUAUUGUCGUUUUUAUAUCUCAUACAUUGCCAUGACUGUUCCUGCACACUGCUAUGUAAACUCACCUCGGUCUCCAGAGCAAAUAAAUGCUGUCUUGAAUACAA